GCCAGUGUGGUGCAGUGGUUUGAAUGUUGGACUAUGACUCUGGAUUCCAGGGUUCAAUUCCCAGCUGAGCCA
rnacentral:tRNA from 1 species